rnacentral:lncRNA from 1 species
GUUGGAUGGCAGAGAUUAUCAGGCGAUGUAUUGUGAUUCUAGUUUUUGCAAAUUUAGAUUGAUUUUGUUUUAGUAUUUUACCCAAUAGGGGAUUUUUGGUUCUGCCAAUCUUUUACCUCAAUUAGUUAUGUUUAGGAUCAAUUUACAUUGCAUUGGCUGUGUUUGAAUCAGUAGCAUACUAGUUAGAUUAUCUUGGUUUUAAUAAAUGAUUUUCAUUCUCUGCUUCCUUGUUUGUGACCCUACUGCAUAUUUUGCAUUAUUAGGAUAUAGUGGACAUGUUUCAUACAUUCUCAUUUGGAAUUCUUUGAGGUCUUUUUCUUCGUUUUAAAUAGCUAGGCACAUUCCAUUGCAUCAUUCUAAUAGUUUUAAGUUAUCAUGAACAUAAUUUGGGCAUGAAAACUACUGAUUGGUUAUUGGUGUCUGGUGUCCCUUCAACCUUUAAAUUUGGUCAUUAUAUGCUUUGGUCAUCAUAUGCUUUGGUCUCUAAUACAAACAUACUCAUCCCAGUACACACUCACACACCACCUCAUUAUAUCUCUCUUUCCUAUCCUUCCUUCUAGUGUACCCAUUUGAAUGUCUUCUCUCUCUCUUCUCUUUGGGUCCCCGCUCAAUCCAGAACCACUCUCUACCUAGUUUCUCUUCUUCCUAUAGCUACCAACG